AUACGGAGGGUGCAAGCGUUAUUCGGAAUCACUGGGCGUAAAGGACGCGUAGGCGGGUUGGCAAGUCAGAUGUGAAAUCCUGCAGCUUAACUGUAGAACUGCAUUUGAAACUGCUAACCUAGAGUAUGGGAGGGGGAGAUGGAAUUAGUGGUGUAGGGGUAAAAUCCGUAGAUAUCACUAGGAAUACCGAAAGCGAAGGCGAUCUCCUGGAACAUAACUGACGCUAAGGCGUGAAAGCGUGGGGAGCAAACAGGAUUAGAAACCCUAGUAGUCC
rnacentral:rRNA from 1 species